GACGAACGCUGGCGGCGUGCUUAACACAUGCAAGUCGAACGGAAAGGCCCUGCUUGCAGGGUACUCGAGUGGCGAACGGGUGAGUAACACGUGGGUGAUCUGCCCUUCACGUCGGGAUAAGCUUGGGAAACUGGGUCUAAUACCGGAUAGUAGCCAGCUUUAGUGUGGUGGUUGGAAAGAUUUUUCGGUGUAGGAUGAGCUCGCGGCCUAUCAGCUUGUUGGUGGGGUAAUGGCCUACCAAGGCGGCGACGGGUAGCCGGCCUGAGAGGGUGUACGGCCACAUUGGGACUGAGAUGCGGCCCAGACUCGGACGGGAGGGAGCAGUGGGGAAUAUUGGACAAUGGGCGCAAGCCUGAUGCAGCGACGCCGCGUGGGGGUUGAAGGCCUUAGGGUUGUAGGCUCCUUUGGCUAGGGACGAAGCUUUUUUGUGACGGUACCUAGAGAAGAAGCACCGGCUAACUUCGUG
rnacentral:rRNA from 1 species